CGACCACAAGCAUUCCGACACAAAGAUUUGGGUUCCAUCAAACCCUCGAGGUGCUGAGAGGCUACCAGCGGAUAUCGUUGCAUCUGAGUCUAAUCUUUAUGCUCGAAGAUUGUGGGGCCUACCCCAUGAGCUACCACUUGUGCAACAGUCCUCACCCGAGCAAUAUUUGCUGAAGGGUGCAAGUCAGUGGCAGCUGGUAUGAAUGCAAUGGACCUUAGACGGGGUAUUACCAUGGCUGUAGAUUCUGUUGUGACAAACCUGAGGUAAUACCCCAUCUAUGUAGGCCUGCAGAGAAAUAUCCAGACUUGUUCUCAAAGGGUUCAUUAUUUGGGAGAUUUCCCUAUUUCUUGCCUUGCCUUUGCAUAUCAGUGUUCGCCUUGGUUGUGGCUGUUGGUUCAUUUUGGAUUCCGCUUCUUCUUAUGAAACGUGGAGGACAAGUGAUAUAUGGGGGGAAGCUUGGGGAGAAGUCACAAACUAUGGUUGACUACUUUCAGAGUAUUCCUGGGAUACCCCCAAUUCCUAGUGGUUACAAUCCAGCAACCUGGAUGCUUGAGAUAAGUACGCCUGCUGCUGAAGAAAGGAUGGGAGAAGAUUUUGCAGUAAUAUACAGAAAUUCGGAGCAGUUCAGGGGAGUGGAGGCCUUAAUUAAGCAACUGAGCGUCCCGCCUGAGAACUCAGAACCUCUAAAGUUCACCAGCAUAUACAGUCAAGGUGCAUUUUCUCAGUUUAGGAUCUGUCUCUGGAAGCAAAAUCUUGUGUAUUGGAGAAGUCCGACUUAUAAUGCUGUUAGGUUGUUCUUUACAACGUUGAGUGCUUUGAUUCUCGGUUCUAUAUUUUGUUGAUUGUUGAAAGUUUUUUUGUUUCAGUCCAGCUGAAAAAAUGUUUCUCAAUAAAAGGGGCGGACAUUUAAGUA